rnacentral:rRNA from 1 species
AGCGAACGCUGGCGGCAGGCCUAACACAUGCAAGUCGAGCGCCGUAGCAAUACGGAGCGGCAGACGGGAGAGUAACACGUGGGAACGUACCCUUCAGUACGGAACAACCAAGGGAAACUUUGGCUAAUACCGUAUACGUCCGUAAGGAGAAAGAUUUAUCGCUGAAGGAUCGGCCCGCGUCUGAUUAGCUAGUUGGUGAGGUAACGGCUCACCAAGGCGACGAUCAGUAGCUGGUCUGAGAGGAUGAUCAGCCUCACUGGGACUGAGACACGGCCCAGACUCCUACGGGAGGCAGCAGUGGGGAAUAUUGGACAAUGGGCGCAAGCCUGAUCCAGCCAUGCCGCGUGGGUGAUGAAGGCCCUAGGGUUGUAAAGCCCUUUCGGCGGGGAAGAUAAUGACGGUACCCGCAGAAGAAGCCCCGGCUAACUUCGUGCCAGCAGCCGCAGUAA